UUUUUUUUUACUUAUUUCUUGUUAGCAUUUUUUUUUUUUUUUUUGAUAAUGGCUGCAGUUGUUGAUAAAAGCAAUAAGGGAGAAAAUGUCAGCAUGUGGUUAUUAAAUUAUAUUAAAAACCAUGGGGGACCAUAUGAAAUCCCACAGGAAUGUAAAGAUUCAUGGGAUUUAAUGAAAAUUUUUAAAGCUGACAUGGUUUUUGAUAAGAAAACUAAGGAAUCAAAACGUAAAGGAAUGGUCCUUCAGGGAUUAUUGUCCUGUUGUUUAAAAAUGGCAGAAAUUAUUAAACAAAAGGAUAAUGAUUUUACAGAACAGACUGACAGGUAUGAAACUUUGCUGAAAGAGUCAAAUGAAAAGAUUUCUGCUAGAAAAGAUUGCAUGCCAUUACUACUGGUGAAGCAUUAAUUGAAAAAGCCAAUCUGUGUGACCGUUUAACAAAAACAAAUGAUGAAUUGUCAGUGAAAAUACAGGAUAUAGAGAAGGAGCUGGAGGAACACAAACAUGCAGUAAAUAUUGCUUUUGAUAAAGUUGGUGAAAAAUCUGAUCAACUUUGUCAAAACAAUAUUUCCAAAUUUAAAGAGCACAAACAAAUUUAUUCAUGGAAUGAAUUGGAUCAAGCAUCUAGUUUCCCAGCAGCCCCUGUUGUCACUACCACUGUAUUAAACACUGACAAUUCAGGUGAGGUACAGCUCCUAUCAAAGCAAUUAAAGCCUCAGGAGAUGGAUGCUAUUGUUAGAGAGAUUGGGCAGGUACCACGAUAUGACAUAAAUAGAUUCAUGAAAUGGUUCUGUGAAUUAAAAAGGGUUAGAGAGACAUAUAACCUGAAUACAGAUGAUAUAGAUCGAAUCUUACAAAGAGUUGUUGGAAAUGGUUUGUGGGUUAGGAUUGUACAGAACUGUGGACAACAGCGUAGGACAAGGGAUGUUUUUAGAGAAAUGCUGAGAGCGUUGUAUGGCAUUACUUUAAAUGUGUCAUUGUCUGGUAAGAUUAAACAGAUGAAACAGGAAUGUCCAUAUGAACUAUGUGAUAGGAUAGCCACAGUGAUGGAUCAAUUGAUGACUGGUAAUCCAGGAUUUGAACAUGGUGGCUUACUCCAUCAAAUGAUGUUGUUGGAGGCUUUAGAAGAGGAUGUCAGGGAAGGAAUAUUAUCAGUCACACCUGACCCUACUGAUUUAAAAGACAUGUUAUUAAGGGCAGAUCAUUUGUGGAGGAAAAGGAGUAGAAAGGAAAGUUUUGCAGUUGAUGCCGCUAGAAUUUUUAGGGUAGAAGGACAACAAAAGAAAGAGUAUGCUGGUUUUAGAGGGCCUCAGCGAGGGAAUAGAGCUUACAAUUCAGAAUGGCAGAGAGAAAGAGGGAAAUAUGAACAGGAGAAGAAAGAUAGGGCUCCUAGACAAUCCUGGAUACCCUUUUCCCAACUGAAAAGAGAGCAUGACAAGCUUAAAAUGGAAUAUGAUACCAUAAGGGCUGAGAGAGAUCUCUUGAAACAAAACGUUUCUGUGCUGGAGGCAGAAUUGUCCAAAUUAAGGUGUGUCUCUCUUACAACUUCUGGUGUUACAGACCAAGGGGGAGGUAUUCAACACAGAGCUAUAAACCUGUGAAUACCAAUGUAGAACACUUUAAUAGUUUUUUUUUUGCACUUAACUUUGUUGUUUUAUGUGGAAUACAUGGAGUAAUAUGUUUUUCCAAGUUAUAUCUUUCAGGAAAAGGUCUUCCAGCAGAAGGAUCAAUGUACCUGAAUCUUUGGUCACUACUUUUAUUUAUCAUUUUUCAUACCACAAUUAAGUAGGACUGGAGAUAAUCGAAUCAUGCUGAACUGUUUUUAAAAUUUUAUUCAUGGCUUCCUAACAGUAAUUUUAUGGAUGUGAGUGGCAAAAGCACAGGUCUAUCCUGCAACAAAAAAAAAAAUGCUCAAGGAACCAAAGCUUUCAAGUGGGGGAGUGAAUACAUUAACAUAAUAAUUAAGGAAAGGUGUUGGAGCUGGACACCACAGAGCAAACUUUUGAAUGGAUACAAUAGUGCAGUAGACUGGAUACUGUUGUGAUUUCAAUAUAUGUUCUACAGAAUUCCUCUGAGCUAAAGUUUUUCCCCAAAUAAAACAGGUUACGAUUGUGAUUAAGGACUAAAGAUGUGUGACAAGAGUCCUCUGUGAAAAGAAAGGAAGUAAAUUAAAAGAACUCAUUAACAUACAAAAAGGACAUUGUUUGCAAAGUUUCUAAAAACACUUAAGACUUUUGCUUAUGCAACAUUUACAUUACUGUUAUUCCAUGUUUUUCUUUCUGUAUACUGUACAUGUUUUGUUUUUAAUGUAAAAAAAAAAUAUCCCAGAGAAUUGCCCAGAGAUAGUACAAAUAUAUUGAUUAAUUAUGUGUAUCUGCCUAGGGUUGCUAAACAAGGGCUCACAUUUAGCAUAUGGUCAAUAGAGGGUAUUGGGAGCUAAAUGUAUAGACAUGGGUGGAUUUAGAAAAAAAUAAAAGAAUAUAUAUUCAGAAUAUUGAUGUAAUUGCUGCAUAUUUGCAGAUGUAAAGUACAACCAUUAAUAUUCUGACUGAAUCAGGUCAGGGUGAUAUUGUGUCCAAAGCUAGAGUUGGUGGCAAGGUGGGAUGUGAAAGGAACAGGAAUACAGACUGAAGGAUGACAAAGAGAGACAAUGCCAUCUAACACCAGCAAAAGUACAAGAUCCUAUGUACUCAACUCAACUGUUACUGAGAGCAAAAUGGAAUAAAGAGAGCCAAGCCUUUGGAGGAAAACCAAAUGCAGCAAGGACAUUAUUUUGUCUAUGAGUAGGGAAGUGGGGGAGUGAUGGAAGUGGCAAACAAUCCUGCCUGGAUCAUAAAGUCCCCAACUCUGGAAAGAAUGGAAUUUGUGGACAUGAACAGUUCCACAGUCUGCAUAAGGAUUUGCACUAAUUCUCUGCAAAUACUGAGUAUGGCUCAUACAGUAAGAUGGUGCAUAUUUCUCAAUGGUGACUGAACAUAUCAACUGAGGAGAGAAUCGACUCAUUCGUCUAAUUCAUAACAUACACCAAAACUGCCACUUGCAAUAGUGUUGGAUACCUUAUUCAUCCUAAAUGAGGGAACAUAAAGAGCUGGAGAAGUGAUAUGUAACCAGUUCUAGCAGAAUUUUUUUAUAAAUAUUUAAGAGCCUUGGUUUAGCAUUCCUUACAACAUAAUGGCAUCAUAUUAUUUAUUAAUUUUUUU